GACGGAGGGGGCAAGCGUUGUUCGGAAUUAUUGGGCGUAAAGGGCUCGUAGGCGGACCUGUAAGUUUGACGUGAAAUCUCCACCGCUCACCGGGGAGGGGCCGUUGAAUACUGCAGGUCUGGAGUUCGGCAGAGGACCAUGGAAUUCCAGGUGUAGCGGUGGAAUGCGUAGAGAUCAGGUGGAACACCGAUGGCGAAGGCAGCACUCUGGCCGAGUUACUGACGCUGAGGCGCGAAAGCUGGGGGAGCGAACGGG
rnacentral:rRNA from 1 species